rnacentral:rRNA from 1 species
GAACGCUGGCGGCGUGCUUAACACAUGCAAGUCGUAACGGAACUUUUCUCCCGAUGAAGCUAAGUGCUUGCACAAAGUGGAAUCAUUUGAAAGUUUAGUGGCGGACGGGUGAGUAACGCGUGGGUAACCUGCCAUAUACAGGGGGAUAACACUUAGAAAUAGGUGCUAAUACCGCAUAAGCGCACGGUAUCGCAUGAUACAGUGUGAAAAACUCCGGUGGUAUAUGAUGGACCCGCGUCUGAUUAGCUAGUUGGUGAGGUAACGGCCCACCAAGGCGACGAUCAGUAGCCGGCCUGAGAGGGUGAACGGCCACAUUGGGACUGAGACACGGCCCAAACUCCUACGGGAGGCAGCAGUGGGGAAUAUUGCACAAUGGGGGAAACCCUGAUGCAGCGACGCCGCGUGAGUGAAGAAGUAUUUCGGUAUGUAAAGCUCUAUCAGCAGGGAAGAUAAUGACGGUACCUGACUAAGAAGCCCCGGCUAACUACGUGCC